rnacentral:lncRNA from 1 species
AUUGCCAAAAGCGGACGUCAAUAGAUGUAAUGCAAAAAUAGUGUCUUGUGUUCAAAAAAGGUUGGGAAAUACUGAGUGAAAGAAUAGUGCACAAACCAUAGGCACACAGCUCAAGGAAUUAUCAGGAAUUGAACAUGUCCACGUGUGCCCAACCCAGCUCUCCAGCACACCUUCCCAGCCUCAACCCAUCAUCUGGAUUCUGAGGUUCUUGGCUCCAGUGAGGACGUUAUUGCUGAGAAUUAGAUGCUGAAGUUGGCACCAUCAAAUAACUAGUCCUGGAUGCAUGUCACUAGUAGCAGCCAUCUCACUGCCUCAGGAACUCAAGUUUACCAUGGUCACCAUGGCCUUGGAGAAUACUCACCUCAUCCUUUUUGUGCAUCACUCGCUCUCAAUUCUAAAAAAGGAGAGAACAUCUGAUUGGCAAAGCCUAGGUGAUACAAAUAUCUGGAAUUCUCAUCUUUUGUAAUGGGAAGUAACUCUGCUUGCUGUUAAGAUUCACAGAGUAAAUAAUCACCAGCUCCUGGAGGGGCUCGUGGGUAGGUAUGGAGAGAGAUGAGCAAUGGUCUACACAGAUGACAGAACAUAUCCACAUCCCUAAGCAGCUUUGGAGUAAACCAGAGUAAAAGCAACCAAAACAGAGUCCAAGUCAGGGUCCUUCCAUCCUCAAACCAGGCUCCAGUGG